GAUGAACGCUAGCGGCAGGCUUAAUACAUGCAAGUCGAACGGUAAGCUUGGUAGCAAUACUAAGUCAAGAGUGACGUACGGGUGCGUAACACGUAUGCAACCUACCUUGUACAGGAGGAUAGCUCGGGGAAACUCGAAUUAACCCUCAUAAUAUAUUUGAAUGGCAUCAUUUGAAUAUUAAAACCUUGGUGGUACAAGAUGGGCAUGCGUCUGAUUAGUUAGUUGGAGUGUAAUGGACUACCAAGACGAUGAUCAGUAGGGGACCUGAGAGGGUGAUCCCCA
rnacentral:rRNA from 1 species